rnacentral:tRNA from 1 species
GGACAGGUGGCUGAGCGGUCAAAAGCAACGGGCUGUAAACCCGUCGGGCCUUGCGUCCUACUUAGGUUCGAAUCCUAACCUGUCCACCA